rnacentral:rRNA from 1 species
GAUGAACGCUGGCGGCGUGCCUAAUACAUGCCAGUCGAGCGAACAGACGAGGAGCUUGCUCCUCUGACGUUAGCGGCGGACGGGUGAGUAACACGUGGAUAACCUACCUAUAAGACUGGGAUAACUUCGGGAAACCGGAGCUAAUACCGGAUAAUAUAUUGAACCGCAUGGUUCAAUAGUGAAAGACGGUUUUGCUGUCACUUAUAGAUGGAUCCGCGCCGCAUUAGCUAGUUGGUAAGGUAACGGCUUACCAAGGCAACGAUGCGUAGCCGACCUGAGAGGGUGAUCGGCCACACUGGAACUGAGACACGGUCCAGACUCCUACGGGAGGCAGCAGUAGGGAAUCUUCCGCAAUGGGCGAAAGCCUGACGGAGCAACGCCGCGUGAGUGAUGAAGGUCUUCGGAUCGGAAAACUCUGUUAUUAGGGAAGAACAAAUGUGUAAGUAACUAUGCACGUCUUGACGGUACCUAAUCAGAAAGCCACGGCUAACUACG